rnacentral:rRNA from 1 species
AUUGAACGCUGGCGGCAGGCCUAACACAUGCAAGUCGAGCGCGUGGCGCACAGGUGUGUAAUGUCUGGGAAACUUCCUGCUGGAGGGGGAUAACUAAUGUGAACGGUAGCUAAUACCGCAUACCCUCGGAUGUGCCCAGAUGGGAUUAGCUAGUAGGUGGGGUAAAGGCUCACCUAGGCGACGAUCCCUAGCUGGUCUGAGAGGAUGAGCAGCCACACUGGAACUGAGACACGGUCCAGACUCCUACGGGAGGCAGCAGUGGGGAAUAUUGCACAAUGGGCGCAAGCCUGAUGCAGCCAUGCCGCGUGUAUGAAGAAGGCCUUCGGGUUGUAAAGUACUUUCAGCGGGGAGGCGUUACCCGCAGAAGAAGCACCGGCUAACUCCGUGCCAGCCGCCGCGGUAAUUC